rnacentral:rRNA from 1 species
CUACGGGUUGCUGCAGUGGGGAAUAUUGGACAAUGGGGGCAACCCUGAUCCAGCAAUACCGCGUGUGUGAAGAAGGCCUUAGGGUUGUAAAGCACUUUCAGAGAAGAAGAAGACAUUAUUGUGAAUAGCGAUGAUAGAUGACGUUAUCCUCAGAAGAAGCACCGGCUAACUCUGUGCCAGCAGCCGCGGUAAUACAGAGGGUGCAAGCGUUAAUCGGAAUUACUGGGCGUAAAGAGUGCGUAGGCGGCUGUACAAGUUGCAUGUGAAAUCCCUGAGCUUAACUUAGGAAUUGCAUGCAAGACUGUACAGCUAGAGGAUAGUAGAGGGUAGCGGAAUUUCCGGUGUAGCGGUGAAAUGCGUAGAUAUCGGAAGGAACACCAGUUGCGAAGGCGGCUACCUGGACUAUAACUGACGCUGAGGCACGAAAGCAUGGGUAGCGAACAGGAUUAGAUACCCGGGUAGUC